rnacentral:misc_RNA from 1 species
UGGCGAAGAAAUUGGGUGCAUGGGACGCAGUAAGGAGCUGUUGUGCUUUUUGCAAGUGCGGCAGUUGUUGUGCAUGUCGAACACGCAAAUACGAGUUGCGCGACGAGUCGUGGAACAAAUCACGUGCCAACAUGCGCAUGUUCGACGCUCGAGUGAAGCAAGAAUGUAUGCCUAUGCGAAUUAUGUACCAUGACAACGAAUAUCACAUAUAAAUUCUCUAUUACUUGUUUUUUAUCGUACUCAAAACUUACAAUAAAUAACAAACAAAUACAUCUAAAAUAUAAA